GAGGAUGUAGCUCAGUGGUAGAACGUCCGCUUUGCAUGUGAAAGGUCCCAAAUUCGAUCCCCGGCAUCUCCA
rnacentral:tRNA from 1 species